rnacentral:rRNA from 1 species
CUCCACAGCCAUAUUAAUCACUGAAGCCAAGCAGGGCUGAGCCUGGUCAGUAGCUGGAUGGGAGACCACUAGGGAACACUAGGUUGCUGUUGGAA